CGAAUUGGAGAAUCGACACCCAAGGACUUCCCUAAUUUGAGAAUCAAUUUCAUGGGCAAGCCACUUGUUUUCCUUGAAAAAAAGGAUUUUAGGGAUUCGAGUAUCAAAGCCCCAAGCAAUUUCUCUGUUCGUGCACAAGCUUCGAUCUGUGUGAUCAGAGCUCUCAGAUGGUGGGAGAAGACCCUUAAACCCNUCAAUCUCUUUUCAUUAGCAUUUCUGGGUUCAAAACUGAUGCUCCAACUUUUUUUUUUCAG
rnacentral:misc_RNA from 1 species